rnacentral:tRNA from 1 species
AGGGGUAUAGUACAACGGUUAGUAUAUGGGUCUCCAAAACCUAGGAUCGUGGUUCGAUUCCACGUACCCCUGCCA